AUUAAUAGAUUAGUAAUGGCUACUGCCUCCGCUUCAACUUCUAUAUCAGACGAUGAACGAAGAUGGGUUAUCAUUGGUGUGUGCUUGACCAAAGUGCUCACUCCUGCAUUGAGGAAUGUUCUUGCAACCGAAAUACCAAAGUGGCAUCAAGUCUUAUAUCAACCACCGACCAAAAUCAACAAACAGGUUUUUGGUGGACACCAGAAAAAGUUACACCCAUCAACUUUGAACCUCAACUAUAAAAGUAUCAACAACAAUGAUGUCAUUGGAUCACCUCGUGCAUUUGAUUAUGCAGUUAAGGAUCCAUUGUCUUUGGCAAAGUUGUUUGUUAAACCAUUCAUCUCCAAGUUCAUUGGCUUUGACGUAACAAUGGACACGUCUGCAGUCUUAUCAGUGAUCUGUGAAGCUGCCCCAUUUGUAGGAGCUGCUGCUCAUGCAAACUCAGUUCGGUCAGAUAUCAGGAACGAGUGGGCGCAUUGCAACUUUGCAGAGUGGACGGAGCUAAAAUAUAAAGCUGUUUUUCAAAAUAUGGAAAAUUUGUUGAAGAAUGUGAAUCUCUCACCUGAAGAUGAACAGGAAUUGUGUGAUGAGCUAAAUAGCUGGAAAAAUAAAGGUUAAUUCUGAAAUAUGUGCUUGAAGCAACAAUAUAUUUUAUAAGCGCGAAAAUUUACAGUUUCGAUUACUCGUCUUGUUUUAUUCAUAUCUUGAAUCACAAGAUGACCUUUUUCUCCGGAAUUCGUUUCUUUUUAUAAUCUCUUAAAUUGCCGGCUGGCGCGUCAUGACAAUGAUUCUUGUUAACUUUACAUUUUUAACAGGGUUCCAGUUGUGUUUCGGUCAACCUGUCGACAUUGAAAUCUUGACUUUACUCCAAGGUUAAGUGGAUGAACUUUGUGAAGCAGUCAAGACAUGGAGAUUAAAGGAAAAAGAGGUUUUUAAGUUCUUUCAUUUGAUUCGCUGUACAUGUGCUUUGCUAUAUAUUUAUUGUUCAAAUUAACGAAUCGGUGAUACUACAGUAGUUAGGCCUGUUUUAUACGUCGAAUUUUGCUCGCAUCAAUGCAAUUAAGACAAUAGGUAAUGAGAUGA